rnacentral:misc_RNA from 1 species
GAAAUGCGAUAAGUAGUGUGAAUUGCAGAAUUCAGUGAAUCAUCGAAUCUUUGAACGCACAUUGCGCCCCUUGGUAUUCCAUGGGGCAUGCCUGUUCGAGCGUCAUUUGUACCUUCAAGCUCUGCUUGGUGUUGGGUGUUUGUCUCGCCUCUGCGCGCAGACUCGCCUCAAAACAAUUGGCAGCCGGCGUAUUGAUUUCGGAGCGCAGUACAUCUCGCGCUUUGCACUCAGAACGACGACGUCCAAAAGUACAUUUUUACACUCUUGACCUCGGAUCAGGUAGGGAUACCCGCUGAACUUAAGC